GGAGUCUGGUCCGUGUCUCAGUACCAGUGUGGGGGACCUUCCUCUCAGAACCCCUAACGAUCGUUGGCCAGGUGGGCCGUUACCCCGCCUGCUGCCUAAUCGUACGCAUCCCCAUCCUAUAGCGGUAAACCUUUGGUAUUCAUCUGAUGUCAUCAAAAUACAACAUAGGGUAUUAAUCCGCAUUUCUACGGGCUAUCCCCUACUAUAGGGAAGGUUGGAUACGCGUUACUCACCCGUGCGCCGGUCGCCAUCGGCCUUAGCAAGCUAAGACCAUGCUGCCCCUCGACUUGCAUGUGUUAAGCCUGUAGCUAGCGUUCAUC
rnacentral:rRNA from 1 species